UACGUAGGGCGCAAGCGUUGUCCGGAAUUAUUGGGCGUAAAGAGCUCGUAGGCGGCUUGUCACGUCGGAUGUGAAAGCCCGGGGCUUAACCCCGGGUCUGCAUUCGAUACGGGCAGGCUAGAGUGUGGUAGGGGAGAUCGGAAUUCCUGGUGUAGCGGUGAAAUGCGCAGAUAUCAGGAGGAACACCGGCGGCGAAGGCGGAUCUCUGGGCCAUUACUGACGCUGAGGAGCGAAAGCGUGGGGAGCGAACAGG
rnacentral:rRNA from 1 species